rnacentral:tRNA from 1 species
GCCUGGGUGGCUCAGUCGGUUGAGCGUCCGACUUCGGCUCAGGUCAUGAUCUUGUUCGUGGUCUGUGGGUUCGAGCCCCGCGUCGGGCU